UGUGAGUGAAGAGCGGAGAAGCCGGUGUAAUUGCUCGUCUGUGUGGAUGCUCUCUUGCUAACAGCAUGCAUGUGUGUGUGUGUGUGCGUGCGUGCAGUAAUUGCAGCAGUACCUGUGCAAAAAGCUCGAGGAAAUCAGUGGAUGGAAGGCGCAGCGCAUUGAUUGCUUGACUAAUUAAUCAGCUGCAUUGGCUCCGUGUGGACGGGGGUUUAUUGAGUGGAGGCUUGGCGCGGGGCCCUUUAUGAGCCCAUAAUGAUUCCUCAGCCCGUGGAGUCGGGGCCUCAUCUGGCCUUUCACACAGCUGCAGUCACGCCGCUCAGUGUCGGGGCGAGGAGAGCGGCCGUCCCUCUGCUAAUCUCCUCCUGUCCCGAGACCGUGUGACUGCGCCGCCGCCGUCCGAUCACAGCUCGUAUUUAUGGGCUUCACUUUCUCAGCAGGGUGCCCUCUCUACACGGUCCAUCCCAGUACGGACCACAUGUGUGCGCCGACCUCUGGCUUUCACAGAGGAGCGAUGUUGACAGUUAGUGUCCCCCUGCAGGAGAGCCCACAUGAAACAGCAACCCGAGCUGAAACCAGAGAGCAGAGGCCGUGGUAGACGACCCAGACGCCCAGACAGGGCCGGACCGUCCUGCCUGACAUCAAUCCUCGCCUGCCCCCCCCCUUCGCCUAGCUCGGCCUCAGCCUCGCUCAACCCGGCCUGUCCCUAAACGGGGGGACGGCGACGAGCUCGUAAACAUGCCUAUAAAAGUCCUGUUUGUAUUGCAGCAGAAGGCGGCUCAGUCCCGGCCCACAGGAGCUCACGUGAGGCGGCGCUCGGAGAUGACCGCUAUCUUGGGGCUGCUGCAAUCUGAGUGUUGGAACAGGUGCUGCUGCUGCUGUGGGCCUGUGUUACUCAGGUUUAUCGCCCAACCACUCCUGAGAAACACGGACUUUUCUGAUCCAGAGGUUUGAUUUGGAGACGUGGAGCAGGCGCUGGUUAGAAAAUAAAACAUGGCUGUGUGUGUGUGUGUGCAUGUGCAGCAGACACUCUGAGUGUAUCAGUCCACUCUCCUCAGCUCUGUGGGGAUUUUUUAAUGGGUGGCUGCAUUAACACAGCCGGCCUCUAAUAGCCUCCUCCAAGAGUUUUUUUUUAAUCCCGACAGAGAGACAGAAACUCAUGAAAUAGAUGAUUUAACAGCGAGGAGCCUCUCCAUCACACGCAGAGCGGAGGAGAAAAAGCAGCUCCUGUUGGAGACGAAGGAAGAGCUCAGCCAACGGGGAUUGGGCAUCCGUGUAUUUAUAUCCUCCAACCAAUGAGAAAACAGGGUUCUACCAUCUGGACUUAGUAUUAGAGCAGGUAUGUGUCGGUGAGCGUAUGGAUUCAUUUGGACUAUUAAAGAUAACAUGAGGGUCUGAGGGCUGUGAGGGUCUGAGGACUGUGAGGGUCUGAGGAGGGUCUGAGGACUGUGAGGGUCUGAGGAGGGUCUGAGGACUGAGGGUCUGAGGAGGGUCUGAGGACUGUGAGGGUCUGAGGAGGGUCUGAGGACUGUGAGGGUCUGAGGAGGGUCUGAGGGCUGUGAGGGUCUGAGGAGGGUCUGAGGACUGACGCUGUGAUCCCUCACAGGAUCCAGACGUGUUCAGGUGUCAGGGUGUGAUCAGGUCCAAAGUUUGGGUCAGAGUCUCAGGGUCUCUGUCCGGUCCCUGAAAAACAGGCGGAUCUGAUCAGAAUCUCCUGAUAGUAAUACACCAAUAAUCCAUAAAAACCUGAUCCAGAUCACACUGAUCGUUUCCACUGAAUUCAUUGAUCACAUAUCGGAUAAAUCAAUCAACAAUAAGGUUAGUUCUAAUGUGACCUCAGUAAGAUAUUUAGAGAUAGUAUAAAACACUCACAUAUUUAUAUGGAUAUAAAAUACAUGUUUAUUUAAAUAUACAUGUAGGUAUAUAUAAUAAUGUAUAUAUAUAAUAUAAUUAUGUAUAUAAUAUAUAUGUAUAUGACAAACAUAUGUAUAUAUAUAAUUAAUAUAUGUAUAUAUGUUUCUAUAAAUGUAUGUAAUACACGUGUAUAUAUAAAUAUAUAUAAUACACACACAGAUACAGAGCAUAAGUGUGUGUGUGGAGAGUCUCCCUGUAGAUACAUACAGAGAUAAAGACGUGUGUGUGUGUGUGUGUGUGUGUGUGUGUGGUGUUGGUGUCCGAGCAGCUGGAUCAGGAUCAGGAUCAGGAUGUGCAGAGAUGGACGACAGAAGCUUUCAGCGUGCGAUCCUGUGAGCUGUGUGGGUAAGCUGUGUUCUUCCCUGGGGUGUGUGGCGUGGAGUGAAGGCACUAAGACCCGGCCGUUAAAGUUUACAGUGUCGUCGUAAAGAGGUCUGAGGCGGGCCAGCUCUCUAAAGAUAACGCUAAAUACACAGUGAUUACAGAGCGCGCUCACAGGAAGAGGGGCUCAUGAUGCUUUUCAGAUUGUGGAGCCUGUUAUAAAACCCACAUGAACCUGCUGUCCCACUGCUCCUUUAACCCCCCACCCCCCCAGGUUAAAAAUGCGUGUUUUCAUGGUCCAAGUUUUUCCCGCCAAACGCCGAGGCUGUAAAGACGCCGAGGCUGUAAAGACGGCGAGGCUGUAAAGACGUCGAUGCUGACGCUGCAGAAAAGUCAGAGGAGCUGUAGGGACCACAUGAGGCUCCUUCACAUCAUCCCUCAGUUUCUCCUUUGCAGCUCCCCAGUGAGCGGGGGUGGGGCGGGGUGGGGGGGUGAUAUUGUUUUUAGCGGCGGUCGGUGAGCACAUCGGGCCGUUUUUAACCACAGUCACAAGACGCCAGUAUAGGGUUAGAACAGAGAUGAGCUCCUGCUCUCAGAAUAGUCCCUGGGAGGCCAUGAGGCCCCCGCCGCUGACCCUGGCCUGCAUUCCAGUUGGCAGACACACAGUUGUUGGGUCAGACAUGGUUCCUGUGCUGGCGAGGGACGAGAUGACACGGAGGGGGGAGAGAGUGAUGCAAUGUGGCCCAUUUCACCGCCGACAACAGUGUGGCGUUCAACGCUCCCUUAUAAGGUGAGAGAGAAGAGGAUGGCGUGCUGUAAUCGUGGUUAUUCUCCUCAGUAUCUGACUUCACUUUUAUUACAUCACAACUGUCAUGGCUCCUAAAUCAUGCACCUCCUCCCUCCCUCCCUCCCUCCCUCCCUCCUCUUUCAGCCCCGCCCCCUGAAGGCCGACCAUAAAAAUAUCUCUCUGUUGCUUGCAUGAUGCAUGCCUGGAAUAGCUUCCACCGGGGAUAAAACGAACAAAUACGGCGGACAGCUCUGAUUGGACGACAGAGGGUCAGACAAAGGUGGAGGGGGUGGCGGGUGCAGCGAGAUUACAGGGGAGUAUUUCAGCCGACCUGAAACAGCUGACGGCGUCCGAUUAUGUCAGAGGAGAGGACCGUGAUCAGGAGAGCUUCAUCAUCAGAUCUGACACCGCCGCCGCCAAAGACUUCACGACAGAAAAAACAGGAAGUACACGUUUUUAAAAAGGGCGCUCCGAAAGUUUAUAAAGUACACGAAGAGGAGAGGAGGAGGAGAGAAGAAGAGAGGAGGAGAAGAAGGAGAGAGAGGAAGAGAAGACGAGGAGAGGAGGAGAGAGGAGGGGGAAGGAGGGCUGCAGCGAGUUCUGCUGAUUUGAACACACCUGUGCAGAAGGCAGGUGUGAUAAGCUCCGCCCUCUGAUUGGUCCUCUUCAUACCCGGUGCCUCAGUCAGUCCGUUUCCAUGACACCCAAGAAAACCGAAUUAUCGUCUUAUUCCGAUAAAGACCGGACAACUGAAGGUCACGUAAACACCUUAGUCCGACUAUAAUCUUCUCUCUCAUGUGACCAGCGUAGUCGGAGUAUGAAGCCACGCCCCCGUAACCCCGUAACAAACCCCCAGAGUAGAGGAGUAGCGUUGGUCUCCUCUUUAGAAAAAGUAGCGCGUCCAUCAUGUCGGACAAAAACAACGCUGUACGAUGCUCCAUCUUCUUGUUUCUCCAAAAUGCCCAGCAGCAGUUGUAGACACUUCUGACGUCUGACACCGACCUGCUGUUGUUGUUGACGGUUGGAUGGGGUCGGAAACAGAGACGCUGAAAAGACCCAUAUCGCCCCCUAGUGUUGGGGAGGAGGACACGUUCACGUCAAUAAUUCAGUUUUCUCAGCUGCAUGUAAACGAGGACGAGGAGAGAAGACUGAUUCAGAGAAAAAGACGAGUUAUGAGGUUAGUCUGAUUAAACUGAGACUGACUGUAAACACGGUCAGACUCGGUCCAGAUGGUUCAGACUCUAAAUCUCCUUCAGUUCUUCAGAGUUUUUUCAGAAACUUGAAUCUUCAAUCAGUCCUUCACUUUCUCUCUUCAGAACCGGGCCCGUCUUAGAGCGGCCCGGUUCACCCACAGCUCUCUCCCGUUGGCAGAUCUGCUCCAGGGUUUCGUGGUCGUCCUCGUCGCUCUCUCUCCUCCCACAUCGGUUAUUCCAUCCUUCGUCACUCCGUUCACAGCCGGCUCCUCUGACCUCUGCGGUACCUCCACCCGAACAUGGCGUCACACACUCUGUGUAUACGGAGCUCUGAUCCGGGUCCCCCUGUGGGAUCCGGUCUAUGGAGUGGUCUGGAAGACUCGUAUGGACUCUGUCUUUUGUUUUCAACACCCGACUCCCAGGUGGUGACAGGCCGGCGCUAAGUGCGGUAAUAGCCAAUUGAUUUUGUCCUCUUUUUUUGUUGGUGGCGAGACAUAAAUCAAAGUGUCUGUCAGGACCUGGCUGUGGAGGGGAGUGAGUGUGUGUGUGUGUGUGUGUGUGUGUGUGUGUGUGUGUGUGUGUAAUGGGGGUAGUGAAGGUUGUGUUUGGACUAGGAGAGUGUCAACAAUUAAUCCAGCCUCUGAUCUGCAGGCCGCUGCUUCCUGACCCUCCGUCACAAUCCAAUUGGGACGUGGUGGAGCUAAAACCAACACAGUGGACCUGCUGAAGUUCAGCCUGUUUCCACAGAUUUUCACUCUGUGGUUUUUAAUCUCUUCAUAAUAAAGACAGACUUUAUAUUUCAGGAGUCAGAUCUUCAUCAACCUUUGACUCUUUACAGUUCUGUGCUGCUGGAAUUGUUUGGGCGAUAAAACGAUAAUGAUAUAUAUCCAAAAUUAAUUUCCCUCAAUAUCAAUAUAAAACAUGAUCAAUAUCCUUUUCAAUAGUCGUCAUUCUGACAUGUUUUGGUCGACUAUACGAACAGCCAAUGAAAAGGGGAGUGUCUCCGGGUCUGAACCAAUCAUGUUCUGAAUUAGAACCAAGUAUCAACCAACUGCAGCGUCGUAGCAGACAGCAGCUCCACCCAACCAUAGCACUUUAACAGGUGAAGCCGACAGCACUGUUGGUGAGAAACAAAGAAAAUGAGUGCUACCCCCGACAGAAAUGACCAUGAAGGCUCAACAGAUGACCACAUCAAUGUCAACCACAACACUGGCGUUAGGAAAACGUCGGUGGUGUGGAGGUAUUUUGGUUUUUGGAGGUCGGACAUGAAGCAGAGUAAUGUGGACUGUAAAUUAUGUCGAGUACAUGUUCUCACAAAGUCGGGGAAUACCUCAAAUCUUUUUCACCACCUGAAGCAGCGCCACGCCGCAGAGCACGCGCAACGCAAAAGGUUACAAACCCCGAGAGGAGCGAGGAGCCGAAACAGACGACCAUUCAGUCGUCU